rnacentral:rRNA from 1 species
UGGGGAAUAUUGCGCAAUGGGCGAAAGCCUGACGCAGCGACGCCGCGUGAGGGAUGAAGGUUUUCGGAUCGUAAACCUCUGUCAGAAGGGAAGAAACCGCACUGUGCUAAUCAGCAGUGCCUUGACGGUACCUUCAAAGGAAGCACCGGCUAACUCCGUGCCAGCAGCCGCGGUAAUACGGAGGGUGCAAUCGUUAAUCGGAAUUACUGGGCGUAAACCGCACGUAGGCUGCUUUGUAAGUCAGGGGUGAAAUCCCACGGCUCAACCGUGGAACUGCCUUUGAUACUGCUUAGCUUGAAUCCGGGAGAGGGUGGCGGAAUUCCAGGUGUAGGACUGCACUCCGUAGAUAUCUGGAUGAACAUCAGUGGCGGAGGCUGCCACCUGGACCGGUCUUUACGCUGAUGUGCGAAAGCGUGGGGAGCAAACCGG